GCUCCGUUGGUGAACCAGCGGAGGGAUCAUUACCGAGUUUACAACUCCCAAACCCAAUGUGAACGUUACCAAACUGUUGCCUCGGCGGGGUCACGCCCCGGGUGCGUCGCAGCCCCGGAACCAGGCGCCCGCCGGAGGAACCAACCAAACUCUUUCUGUAGUCCCCUCGCGGACGUUAUUUCUUACAGCUCUGAGCAAAAAUUCAAAAUGAAUCAAAACUUUCAACAACGGAUCUCUUGGUUCUG
rnacentral:misc_RNA from 1 species